GUCCUUGUUGUGUUGACAUUUCUUGCGCGUCAGAGUUUUUCCGUGCUUGGAUAUUUUAGUCAUUUUAGAUGAAAUAUAACUAACUCAACUAACUGCUUAUGCUACGAAAUAAGGUGAACACUGGGUAAGGCGGCUGUAAAGUCAUGUCCUGGCCACAGUGGAAGCAGAAGCCUAAAACUAUAGCAGGCACACCAUUGGCAAGGCUAUCUACUCAAGUAGCGUUUGGACUAGUGGGAUCCUCACUACUGGUUGGUGCAGCUCUAUACAUAUCACUUUCUGAUGAUAGGAAAGAAAAAAUUCAGAAUACUGCUAGCAACUUUACUGAGGAAGAACAUAAGAUAUUGAAUGAGAUGAAGAUGCGAAAACUGUUGCCGGUACGGCCGAGUCAAAAGGUCAAAACCGAUGAAGACUACGACAAGGAGCACCACCGGUUUGCGUAGUUGCUUUACUGCAGUGUAAAGGGACAGCAUCCAGCUCCAGAGGAGUGCAGUGGUAGUGUGAACGGAUUGUGUGUGACAGCGUCCGUGUCACACUGUGAUAAAGACAGAACAGUGAACUGAAGGACCGCAGUGCCCGUGUGUGAGUGUUUCUGGAAGCACCCUCCACUGAGUAUCUGUAUCCACCGGACGCCAGGACGGUCUAACUGCCGUGACACUGGGUGUAUUACGGGCCGGCCAUGUCUCAGGCCAGUCAGCGGGUCAGCAAACUGAGUCGGCGGGGCGGCAGGAGCGGCCGCCAGCCGCCCACCUCGGCCCCGGAGCCGCCCGACCUGGACACGAGCGACGACUUCACGCCCAGUCUCUCCUUCGCUCGGUAAUUGAACUGUGGGGGAUUUUGUAUGGCUGAGUAGAGUAGAUUUGUGAGCAUUGCUGUUGAUGAAGCUGUCUAGUUCAGCAUUCAGCAUUAUUAAGAAAGAGGCGCUUUUGAGUGAAUAGAUACUUUGUCGCAGCUGUGCUAGGAACAUUUUUACUGGUUCCUUGCGAUGAAGUUCGGUUCGCCAUGCAGGCAUAGAAACUAUUGAAUAUCAAUGUGCAAUUGAGUAACUAGUAUGCAGUGUUAUUGUUUGUGAAACUGAGCUCUGUUGUGCUAAUACAUUGUGACCGACA
rnacentral:lncRNA from 1 species